CAGUAGCCACGGGAAUACGAAGGGUGCAAGCGUUAAUCGGAAUUACUGGGCGUAAAGCGUGCGUAGGCGGUUUGUUAAGUCUGUUGUGAAAUCCCCGGGCUCAACCUGGGAAUGGCAAUGGAUACUGGCAAGCUAGAGCGUGUCAGAGGAUGGUGGAAUUCCCGGUGUAGCGGUGAAAUGCGUAGAGAUCGGGAGGAACAUCAGUGGCGAAGGCGGCCAUCUGGGACAACACUGACGCUGAGGCACGAAAGCGUGGGGAGCAAACAGGAUUAGAUACCCCCGUAGUCCCUGUCUCUUAUCC
rnacentral:rRNA from 1 species